rnacentral:lncRNA from 1 species
CUUGUUUACUAGCCAAGGGUGCAAACAUAUGGAAUAAUAUCAUCCCAGUGAAGACCUCAGUGAGGUGGCCAAGUAGGUACCAGGCAUGGAACAACAUCUGGAAGUGGCCACUUCUGUGUACAGAAAACCCAAUUUGGCCUGUAAUUAUAGUCUCACCAUCAAGCCUACAUUGCAGUAACAAUUCAUUCUCCCAACUUCAAGAUUCCACAUAGUGCUGGACAUCCAUAGAGUCGAAGAAGAUCUGUUGAAUGUUUAUAGCUGCCAGUCUGGACACAUCUGAUACUCUCCAAAAGCUAAACAAGCUAUUCAGGAAAAUAGAAGGGAGCCCUGACAAGCUGAAUGGAACCUUUAGAAGUUCAAGGACUUAUUUCUAAAGACGUGGAAGGAAAUUCAACUCAAGAUUCCCAGUCUACUACUGAAGUUGCUACUCAUCUUGUCUUCCACAGUGAGUCAGUAUGUGGGAAGAAGCCCAAGAUGCAUCAUGGGAAGGAGGUUCAGACCCUGGUCAAACAAAUCUAAGAUGAAUACAACGUUCUCUGGGACUCAACUGAAGGUACUCAACAUUGGAUCCAUGGAGCAAAAAUACUUAGCCCAUAGUGGAUCUGCAGCUGAGAACUUGAACCUUACCUCCAGACAGGUCAAGAUCUGAUUUCAGGACCAGAGAAUGAAGUCAAAGAGUUGACAGAAAAACACUGCGUGGUCAAAGAAUGGCAGCAGUGAUGAAUCAGCUGUUGGGGAGGACAAAGGUAUCAUUACUUUCCAUUUCACCAUUAUACAGAUGAGGAAACAGUAGGUAAGUGACUUGCCCAAGGUCACACAGCUUAGUAAGUGUCUGAGGGCAGAUCUGAACUAAGGUUUUCCUGACUCCAGACUUAGUACUGUAUCCACUGUACCUCCUAGCUGCCUAGGUAUUUUGUAAACUCUUAACCAUUGUGUAAGAGUGAAUUGAUUAUUAUUAUUCUCUCCCUUGUAAUUCUUGACCCUAAUGAGGAGCUUAGGUGGCAUAAUGGGUAGAGUAUUGGGUAGGCAAGCCAAACCUGGGUCCA